AGGUCUGUAGCUCAAUUGGUAGAGCACUGGUCUCCAAAACCAGCGGUUGCAGGUUCGAGUCCUGCCAGGCCUG
rnacentral:tRNA from 1 species